rnacentral:miRNA from 1 species
UUUAUACGUCGAAUUUUGGUCGUGUCAAAUGCAAUUAAGACAAUAGAUUAUCUAUUUUUUGAAUUGCAUUCGACGCGACCGAAAUUCGACGUAUAAA